ACUUUGAAGCUUGUUUUUUGUGUUUUUCUUUCGUUUCCCGAACCUGGUCUGUUUACUAUAUAUGUUUAUGAUCAGUGACAGAAAAUAAGGAAUAAUGUGUUAAAAAAGGAUGAUUACAAUUUAAUUUGUCAUUGUUAAUACUAUGGAAGAUUGAAGAGACUAUGGAACAAUACUAUGGAAGAUAGGCAGCCACUUUUACAGUAAACAUAGUUACCACAUCAGAUAUAGUAUAUCCUAUGUGAGUCAGUUGAAUAGCCACAGUGGAAUGUGCUGUACUUUCAGCUUGGAGGAUUAGAGUUCAAUUCCUGGGUCCUACACCUCUAAUUUUUUAAAAGAGUCUGGGCCUGGCUCAAACUUCCAUCUUUUACCUUGAUACUGACUCCACUGGGAAUGAGAGUGGCCUUCUGAUGGCAUAUCUCAGAUAAUGAAGAUUUUAUGCAAUUCUUUAAUUAUAGUUUGCCCUUUGGGAAAGUGGAUUCCAAAUAAGAAUUACUUCAAAUUAGUGGUGAACUUUGAAUGGAUCUUUUAUGUGAUGAGGCAUGAGUUUCCAAGCCCAGCACAUAAAAAACACUUGAAUAGGCAUGUCCCACCAAGUGGAAGCAGCAUAAAACCAUACAGAAAUAUAUUCCAUGCAUACAUAAUAUAUUUCAUAACAUAUUUCAUUCCAUGUGCAAUACAGCAGCUUAAUUAUAAUUAAUUUUAAUCUAAACUAGUCAAUUAGACCAUUUAAAUUUAUUAAAACAUCAUUAGGCUUAAUUUCUGCUGAUUAUUAAAAUACACAUAUUUGACUAAGAUUGAAGAAUAUGAUAGUGAACUUUAAAAUCAAUACAAACUCUGGGAAUUGUUGGGCUAAAAAGUUUCAACUUGUACAGAUAUUAAUAAUGAAGCCUAAAACAAUGAAACAAGUAUGCUUAAUAGUAAAGUCUGGUCAGCUGAUGGCUGUGGGGCAAGUGUGCUAUGCUUUAAUCUGAAAGAUCUUAGAUUCAAUUUCUAGAUCCCGUGCCUACAAAAGUUUUUCAGGAGCUGAGUGCAGCUCCUAAUUGAAAUCUUUGUGUCAUUUCUUUCAGUCUAUUGCUCAACAUUUGCCUUAUUUGUUGAUAUUAGUGGACAGCCAAUGUUCAAAUCAUCAAUGAUAUUGUAACUAUCACAAAAAUGCUUAUUUCACUCGUACACUUGAAUUUUUUCAUAAUCAUAUUAUGAAUGAUAAAUUGAAUUUUAUAUUUCUUUUUAAAUUCAA
rnacentral:lncRNA from 1 species